GCCGCAGAGAGAGGCUCGCUUGUUGGCAGCACGGUUUGAUUGUGGGUCAAAAAUCCAGCAGAGCAAGUUUGUAGUAAGGUCUAGUUACAUUUACAUUUUAGUCAUUUAGCAGACACUCUUAUCCAGAGCGACUUACAUUAGUGAGUGCAUACAUUUCAUUAAAAAAAAUUGUACUGGCCCCCUGUGGGAAUCAAACCCACAACCCUGGCGUUGCACACACCAUGCUGGCAUUGCAAACACCAUGCUCUAACAACUGAGCCACAGGGAAGACCAGUUAUUCAAUUGCUAAAUAGUAAUAUACUCUAAAACGCUCUGGUGACAAACAAACUUCACUGCCCUGUUUCCAAUCGUCCACAUGGCUGGGAGAACCUAUUCAAGAAGGUAAAUAUAUUUCGAAAAUGUAAAAAAAAAAAUGUAAAAAAUGUAUUAUUAGCUAACUAGCUACAGUGCUGGCGAACUCAAAUGAGCUGCUAACAUGGCUAGCUAGCUAUCUAGCCAACUUUACAUACUGUAUAGAUAGCUAGCUAAGUGAAUUAAAUAUCACCACCUACCUAACUUCAUAUUCGCUAGCUAUCUUGAUGUAUUUAUCACUGUAAAAACAACUCUAAAUGCAUUUGUAGGUAGCUAGCUAACAGCUAUGGAGGACAGUGACAGGAUAGCAGCCCCAACUGUCAAAGUGAGAGAGUAGGCUAUUCUGGAUAGAGCAAGUACUUUUGUCUAGUUCCUGUCCCUGGAAGUGAGGACAGAGAUAAUAGAAAUGAGGACAGAGAUAAUAGUAACAUAAUAUUUAGUGCAGUCUCAUUUGACUAUAAUGAAGUCUGUAUCUUGUGAGGUUUUCUGUCCUCAGAUACAGAGAGCUGUAAAAGCCGGUCAAGCAGAUGAAGAGGUCCCAAUGAAGAGUAGUGGCUCUCAGUCCUGGAUUCAUUUGUGAUGCUGUCCUUGAUAUGAUCUUGCUAUUGUCACAUGCACAUGUGUGUGUACAUGCAUCUAUCCAAUGUUACCAUUAUUUGUUAUCAGGGAUAUUAUACUUUAGUAAUCCGCAAUGACCUGGUGAUGUAACAGUCAAAUAAUGACAUUAUCUUCCAUAUUCCUACAGAUACCUUGUAACUGGUGAUUCCUUCAAAACGAUUUCCUACAGUUACGUGUAGGGCACUGCAAGGUUGGGUGACCAGGGCCAUCUGGGACUGCCUCCUGGAGGAAUUCAGGUGUGUGUGAAGGCUACCUGUGUCCUGCAUAACUUCAUGAGGAUGGACACAAGGACCAGGAGGGGAUCUGCAGCUCGCCGCCGCGUGCCAGAGUAGAAGUCUGCUGCUCUGCAGGAUGUUUCAAGGAUGGGGUCCAACAACGUAGCAAGAGAGGCAAUCCGUGUGCAAGAGAUCUUCACCUCCUACUUCUUCGAAGAGGGUGCUGUUCCCUGGCAACACCAUAGACUACACUAUGCACAACCAAAGGCUCUUUUAAGAGCUAUUCACAUUGCAAUAAGAGUAUUCUUCCAUUUACUGAGCUAUGUCAACUGCAGUUAUUCAAUUCUCAGUUUCUCUCCCUUUGAUUUCUACUUCUCAUGUGAGGGUGCUAUUUAGGUAAGGGUGUGAUGUCUACAAAAGCAAAACAGGCUAUUUUAAAUCACCCAUAUUGAAACAAUUUGGAACAAUUAGACACCCUAUAACCCACACGUACACUCAUGUAUCAAUCUGAUUGAUGGAUUGUGUUGUGCAGUAAGCAGGUUCAGGUGUAUAACUGUGGCUCCUUCCACCUUCAAAUAAUAGGCAAGAGGGACAACCGUGGAGAAUAGUAAGACACUUCAUUAUUUCUAUAACUACGCUAUAUUGUUUGUCCUCGUGUGUCUGUGCAUGUUUUUCCAGCAUAAAGUACUCUGCAGCCACUUAGUGUGGUGUGGACACCAGGUUAUAUCAGCUGUGGUUCGUGAACCCCUACUGCAUCUGAACUGGCUGACAGAGAGGGCACAGCAUGAUCAGAGGUAUGAUUUGAUGUGAGGAUGCCAACCCCCAGUCCCGUCAUCGCCACCUCACCCGCUCUUAAGACAACCUUCGGUCCGACGAGAGACACUAUUAUGUAAUUGUGAUGAACUGAGAGAAUAUUUGGGUAGCACUGUGAUUCAUUAAUCAUAUGCUGCCUUCCCUGCUCCUAUGUUCUUACCUCUUUCCCUUUGUUUUUUACACCUCUCUCACCACCUCCUCUUUC
rnacentral:lncRNA from 1 species